rnacentral:lncRNA from 1 species
UGUGGUGCCUUUCGAUCAAGGUCUACUUUGGUUGAUCCACUUUCUUCUACAGCGCGUUAUCCGCAUCGAAGUUAGCCAGGUUCCUACCGCUUCUUGAUAUUAUGGAUUUUGCAAUCCCUGAACGCCAGUGCUUCUACAACCAACGGAUACUAUUUAACAGAAAUAAUAAGUAGAAAUAGACAAACGAGUGUGGCUACACAAAGUGAGGAAAAAAACAUGGUGGUACCAGCAUUGCGUAUCACUCACUAUGCUUUAUGUAAUAUGGCUUAAGCAAUGGUAAAAUGGGA